rnacentral:rRNA from 1 species
AACGUAGGACGCAAGCGUUAUCCGGAGUUACUGGGCGUAAAGCGCGGGCAGGCGGUCUUGCCAGUCUGAUGUGAAAUCUCCCCGCUCAACGGGGAGCAGCCAUUGGAAACUACAAGACUGGAGUCUGACAGAGGUAGGCGGAAUUCCGGGUGGAGUGGUGAAAUGCGUAGAGAUCCGGAGGAACACCAGAGGCGAAGGCGGCCUACUGGGUCAGUACUGACGCUGAGCCGCGAAAGCGUGGGGAGCAAACAGG